rnacentral:rRNA from 1 species
UACGUAGGGGCCGAGCGUUGUCCGGAUUCAUUGGGCGUAAAGAGCGUGUAGGCGGCCGCUUAAGUCCUGCGUGAAAUCCCGGAGCUCAACCCCGGAACUGCACUGGAUACUGCCAUGCUUGAGUACUGGAGAGGAGAUUGGAAUUUACGGUGUAGCAGUGAAAUGCGUAGAUAUCGUAAGGAAGACCAGUGGCGAAGGCGGAUCUCUGGACAGUUACUGACACUGAGGCACGAAGGCCAGGGGAGCAAACCGGG